rnacentral:rRNA from 1 species
GUCUCUGGCUGUCCGAGUUGUAAUCUAGAGAAGUAAUGCCCGUGCUGGACCGUGUAUAAGUCUCCUGGGAUGGGGCGUCAUAGAGGGUGAGAAUCCCGUCUUUGACACGGACUACCAGUGCAUUGUGGUAUGCUCUCAAAGAGUCGAGUUGUUUGGGAAUGCAGCUCAAAAUGGGUGGUAAAUUCCAUCUAAAGCUAAAUAUUGGCGAGAGACCGAUAGCGAACAAGUACCGUGAGGGAAAGAUGAAAAGAACUUUGGAAAGAGAGUUAAACAGUACGUGAAAUUGCUGAAAGGGAAACGCUUGAAGUCAGUCGCGUUGGCCGGGAAUCAGCCUUGCUUUUGCAUGGUGUACUUUCUGGUUUGACGGGUCAGCAUCAAUUUUGACCACUGGAAAAAGACCUGGGGAAUGUGGCAGCUUCGGCUGUGUUAUAGCCCCUAGUCACAUACAGUGGUUGGGAUUGAGGAACUCAGCACGCCGCAAGGCCGGGUUUCGACCACGUUCGUGCUUAGGAUGCUGGCAUAAUGGCUU